UCAAAUUUCCCUAUAAAUGUCUGCUAGUAACGCGUGCAUGCAUACCUGAUCAAUCAAGUUGAAUUCAAACUGGAGCAAAGGAAUCGAGAGUCGAAUUAAUUAAGACGCCACAAGUGGAUUCCACUUUCACGACUUUCGUUCAUCGAUGACACUGAAAAUCUCGAGGAAACUAGGUCUUCUGGGAGAAAUGUUCCUUGAAAUGAAAUCCGAUUUUUAAGGUUAUGUUAUGUGAUUCAGUUAAGAAUCUCCAAUGCUAAAUAUCUGACGUCUCUGAAUCCUGCGAAGAGCAAAGGGUCCCUGAAAGGACAAAAAUGAUAAAAAUUUACGUAAAUCCAGAGAGUAAUGUGUCAAGCAAAAUGCUUUAACGUGCAACGUAAUGUAAAUUUGAAGCCAGUCCGAGGAAGCUCGUGGUAUUGCAAGGGCCACGUUUAGCGAGCAGAAUAACAUAAAUGCCAGGAAUAUUUUGGUAUUCGGCUAAACGACGUAAAGUUGGAUGUUUUAUGAGGUCGUUUUACUGUCGAGGACCCGUCCUAAAGAAGCGGACCGCGUCCAAGUGAAUUUAAAAUUACAACGGCCUGCACUGGCGUUCCGUUGAAAUUCCUUUUAACAGCUCUAUUCGCUCGUGACACGAGUUAAAUACGACCAGCCUUGUUUCCAAGAGAAUUUUCGCGUGGCAGAAAUGGGGAUAAAAACCUCAGGCGCGUGGAUUAAUGAAAAUUACGCGUGUAACGCGAGCAUCCAGAAUCACGACUUAAUUCAAUUUUCGCGGCAACUGUGCAACAUGCAGCUGACUCGUUUCAACAGCCUCCAAAUUCAAAAUGGCAAGACCCGACUUCCAGCGUCGCGGUCUUUUUAUAUCGUCGUGAUUCCAAAACUGACGACACUGAAGCAACGCGUAAUAUCUUUUAAAUAAUAUUUAUUUUGAUUUUAAAAUAUACGCACAACAGCUUAAGUGCUAUUCACAAUUAGGUAUUUCCUUUCUUUCUUCUUUUCCAUUCUUUUCCAUUUUCUUGAUUUACAUUUGUAUGUAUAUAUAUAAUCUUUUGCAGUGAGGUAAACCUAAGUUAUCAAAGAUAUUACGACUGAGAAUAGUUCGUAAGAAUUGAAUUCAAAAUCGUCUAACUAAUCGGCCUUCCGGUUUACCGUCAAGAAUCUGACAAUGAUCACAGAUCAGUAGAACGUCGAUUCGAUUUGCGUCAACGGGGGACAAGAAAGACCUAGUGUGUAUAAUAUUUGAUAGUUACAUCGUCGUAUAAUAAUCGUUUCGUUAAAUUAUCCCUUAUAUCCUCUUUUUCUUUUUUUGUCUUAUUUUUUUCUUUUUCCUUUUUUCUUCAUCAUUACACGAUUCGACUGUGCGCCGAAUAUGAGAUAUGAGACGGUCGAUCAUGGAAGCGAGUUUAAUUAUUUGUGUCUGUUUCACUUGAAUAAUAUACUUGAUAAUUCUUCGUUUAAUUUCAUUAGUUCGUUUUAAUCCUAAUUCACUUAUUUAAUUCCCCCUCUUGGUAUUAUAUCUUUUGUGCAAUCGCGUAGCUACUUUUUUUUGUAUUGUUAGGUCUCCCGCUAACGAGUGGUCGUAACAGGUGAAAUAUCGAAGCCUGCGAACAGAGAUCGAAACAUCAAACCUUUCGUUUACUGCUUAAUUUCGAUAUCCAUCGUUGAUUCAAUAUUUUAUCAUAUUUAUUUUAACAACCAUUGGACCGUCUGUGCCUCUUGCCGGCGCGAUUUCACACUUCGAUCUCCGUUGGAAAAGAACGUGAAUCGUACCGACGGAAACUAAGAACAGGUGCUCAUCAGAAACGCACUGUGAACAAAAGCAAACCGUCUUCGCGUUUUAGGCCGGUUGAAGAAACCCUGGAUUUCAACAUCUAAAAUGAAACGGAAAAAUUUCGAUGUGGCAAUGUGGCUUGAAAAAUAAAAUGUGAAGUAAAACAAAAAAAAAGAAAAAGAAAUGGAAUUUUAUUUACUUGUUUAGGAUGCUUUUUAUGAAGAGCAGAAAUUUUUCAAUUCCUUUGAACCACGUGUCUGAUUCCACCUGUUCUUUUCUUUCCUCUAUCACAAGCUUGAUAAUCAUAUCCGCUGCGUAUUUAUGCAUGUGUAUUGCGUGUGUAUGUGUGACAAUGAAUGUUUCUUGGUUUUCCUUAAACUUGACAAAUAUUCAUAGCAACAUUACAAAUUGUGACGACAACGAUAAUAAAGGGAUAAAAUUGUACUAAGAACGAUGAUUAGAGAUUAGUGCAGAAAUAUCGAGAAAAAUUGUUUCGACGGUGUGACAGUAUAAAAACCAAAGUGUAUUGAGCUGCGAAUGCACACGACGGAUUCCUGAACUUUAUAAUUAUUAUUAUUAAUAUUAUUAUUAUUUUGUAUACUCCCGAACACCUGCGAAUACUUUCCUACAGCCAUCCAUUUCGACUCGAAGAUCACUAGCCAAUGAAAUAAUCCGCAAAGUGCCACAAAACGAAUACGUUGUAGCUUUAAAAAUAUUUGUUUGGCACUUGGAACAUCAAGCUGAUCCUCUUUAACUUUUCAUUUAUCAAGCGAAAAUUUGUUAUCGAUCGUCAAUCAUUUAUCAGCUAAGCUUGUUACCGACCGCAUAUUUUUUUAUUUUCCUUUUUACCGACCGUAGAUUAGUCGAGUCGAGCGUAACUGAAUUGCAUUCCAGUAUUCGCAUUUGCAAAUUGUGCGUGCCACGUGCACAACACGUACAUAUGUACAUCGGCUAAUUAUAUUACAUAUGCAACAUAUGUAUAUACAUCGAACUAUGAAUUAGGAUAGUCGAGUUGAUAUUUCGGGCCAGAAAGCGAUUCAUUUCCGCGUUUUAGUUGCCCUAAACGAUAUCUUUACAUUCAUGUCACCUUUCAUGUACACGAUCCAAUUUCAUCGAUCAAGGGGUACAUCAAAGUACAAAUACAUUUCUCUUUUUUUUUUCUUCUUUUUUCUAGUCAAGAAGACAGCGUGCGUCUUUUCUCCCUUCGUUCCAUGAUUUUCUGUCGCUUGGUUCAGUGUUAUUAAAAUAUAUCGAUCACUUGAAUCUGAUAUUGACAACUUGUCAGCUCGCAAGAUAAUACUUUGACGCUUUUAACAAUUAAUAACCACCUCACUACUGGGACGUCCAUGGACCCUCCAGUAUAACACUUUCAAGAUGACCAAGGCUACGACGUAAGUUCUGGAGUUUAAAUUGGUCAACACUAUGUUAGAUAUAGAUAGUUAAGAUUAGGUACGUAAGUAGAUUCGGUAUUUAAGAUAAAUAUAGGCUAAUGUUGAACUCCAGAACUUAAUUUACACGCUACCGUUUUAAAGGAAGACUAUGUUUACCGUGAAGCUGCGCCGGGAGAAAGUAAACACGCUUUGCAAACCAUUUGCUAUUUGAACAGCUGUUCUCUGUCCCACUUGUAGAAACCGAAGAAACUUUGUAAAAAAGAAUUCGCAGACAAAAAAAGAAAGAAAAAGAAGAAACUGUGUGA